rnacentral:rRNA from 1 species
GGAGGGGGCCAGCGUUUGUUCGGAAUUAUUGGGCGUAAAGGGCGCGUAGGCGGCCCGGCAAGUCAGUUGUGAAAUCCCUCGGCUCAACCGAGGAACUGCGACUGAAACUGCCGGGCUUGAGUCCCGGAGAGGGUAGCGGAAUUCCCAGUGUAGCGGUGAAAUGCGUAGAUAUUGGGAGGAACACCGGUGGCGAAGGCGGCUACCUGGACGGGUACUGACGCUGAGGCGCGAAAGCGUGGGGAGCAAACAGGAUUAGAUACCCUGGUAGUCCACGCUGUAAACGAUGGGCACUUGGUGUUGCGGGUAUCGACCCCCUGCAGUGCCGAAGCUAACCGCAUUAAGUGCCCCGCCUGGGGAGUACGGUCGCAAGGCUG